rnacentral:rRNA from 1 species
GAUGAACGCUGGCGGCGUGCCUAAUACAUGCAAGUCAAGCGAACAGACGAGCAGCUUCCUCCUCUCACGUUAGCGGCGGACGGGCGAGUAACACUUGGAUAACGUACCUAUAGGACUACGAUAACUUCGGGACACCGGAGCUACUACCGGAUAAUAUAUUGAACCGCAUGGUUCAAUAGUGAAAGACGGUUUUGCUGUCACUUAUAGAUGUAUCCGCGCCGCAUUAGCUAGUUGGUAAGAUAACGGCUUACCAAGGCAACGAUGCGUAGCCGACCUGAGAGUGUGAUCGGCCACACUGGAACUGAGACACGGUCCAGACUCCUACGGGAGGCAGCAGUAGGGAAUCUUGCGCAAUGGGCGAAAGCCUGACGGAGCAACGCCGCGUGAGUGAUGAAGGUCUUCGGAUCGUAAAACUCUGUUAUUAGGGAGGAAGAAAUGUGUAAGUAACUAUGCACGUCUUGACGGUACCUAGUGAGAAAGCCACGGCUAACUACGUG